UGUGCCAGCCGCCGCGGUAAUACGGAGGGUGCGAGCGUUAAUCGGAAUAACUGGGCGUAAAGGGCACGCAGGCGGUUAUUUAAGUGAGGUGUGAAAGCCCCGGGCUUAACCUGGGAAUUGCAUUUCAGACUGGGUAACUAGAGUACUUUAGGGGAGGGGUAGAAUUCCACGUGUAGCGGUGAAAUGCGUAGAGAUGUGGAGGAAUACCGAAGGCGAAGGCAGCCCCUUGGGAAUGUACUGACGCUCAUGUGCGAAAGCGUGGGGAGCAAACAGGAUUAGAUACCCUGGUAGUCCACGCUGUAAACGCUGUCGAUUUGGGGAUUGGGCUUUAAGCUUGGUGCCCGUAGCUAACGUGAUAAAUCGACCGCCUGGGGAGUACGGCCGCAAGGUUAAAACUCAAAUGAAUUGACGGGGGCCCGCACAAGCGGUGGAGCAUGUGGUUUAAUUCGAUGCAACGCGAAGAACCUUACCUACUCUUGACAUCCAUGGAAUUCUGUAGAGAUACGGGAGUGCCUUCGGGAACCAUGAGACAGGUGCUGCAUGGCUGUCGUCAGCUCGUGUUGUGAAAUGUUGGGUUAAGUCCCGCAACGAGCGCAACCCUUAUCCUUUGUUGCCAGCGAUUCGGUCGAGGAACUCAAAGGAGACUGCCAAGUGAUAAACUGGAGGAAGGUGGGGGAUGACGUCAAGGUCAUCAUGGACCCUUAACGAGUAAGGGGUACACACGUGCUACAAUGGCGUAUACAGAGGG
rnacentral:rRNA from 1 species